rnacentral:lncRNA from 1 species
GAGAUACUUUGGAAUUAUUUUAGCAAGUUAAAGGCCAGUGUGACUGAAAUGGAAAGAAAAAAAUGGGAGGAAAUGGGAGACAAAUGGAGUUGUCAAAAUAGCCAGAGUUGGCAAAACAGUCCAUGCCAUGCAUGGAUAGGUGGUCAUAUUUCAUCCUCAGAGGCUGUCACGGCUGAUUAAUUUAUACUGCUCCAAAGGAACAAUAUUGUUCUGAGGAGCCAGCUGUAGUCAUGAAAAUAAUGAUCACUUCUAUUACUUUUUUAGGCUGAGGUAUUAGAAAACGAGAGUGCUUCCUUUAUGCUGAGAAGAAAGGAGCCUCAGAUCCUGGAGACGGAAUUAUGCUCUCUGGCAGAUAGGCCAACUUCAUUCAUAACCUAGGAAACCGCACCACUUCCCAGGACCUACCGGUAGCAACCCACUCCCUGCAUUAUGGAAUUAUGGAUGGCCAAAUUACAGUAUUCCACUUGGAGAGUGAGUACUGGGAGCAGCUUGGGGAGGCACCGGUGUUCCUGGCCGCGGGCUGCAACUCACAGCCUCUGUACGCCGCUGCCUAACUGGGACAACAAAUCCCUGGAGAUGAAGAAGAAGCAGUGUCUGGUGUGCCCAGCAUAAACUCUGUGUGGACAUCCGUUCUCCACGUUUCCCUCUCCAGCAGCCCUCGAUUUCUGUUUGGGGAUCCGCACCAUACCUGAAAGGCUAAUUCCAU